GUUCAUUCGGGGACAUCUGAUAAAAUUGGAAUGAUAUAGAAGAUUAGCAUGGCCCUUGCGCAAGGAUGACACACAAAUAAAAAAAAAAAUGUAAUUCUUU